AUUGAACGCUGGCGGCAUGCCUUACACAUGCAAGUCGAACGGCAGCACGGGUGCUCGCACCUGGUGGCGAGUGGCGAACGGGUGAGUAAUGCAUCGGAACGUACCCGGAAGUGGGGGAUAACGUAGCGAAAGUUACGCUAAUACCGCAUAUUCUGUGAGCAGGAAAGCGGGGGAUCGCAAGACCUCGCGCUUCCGGAGCGGCCGAUGUCGGAUUAGCUAGUUGGCGGGGUAAAGGCCCACCAAGGCAACGAUCCGUAGCGGGUCUGAGAGGAUGAUCCGCCACACUUGGACUGAGACACGGCCCAGACUCCUACGGGAGGCAGCAGUGGGGAAUUUUGGACAAUGGGGGCAACCCUGAUCCAGCCAUGCCACGUGAGUGAAGAAGGCCUUCGGGUUGUAAAGCUCUUUCGGCUGGGAAGAAAUCGCAUCUCCUAAUACGGGGUGUGGAUGACGGUACCAGCAUAAGAAGCACCGGCUAACUACGUGCCAGCCGCCGCCGUAA
rnacentral:rRNA from 1 species